rnacentral:rRNA from 1 species
UACGUAGGGGGCAAGCGUUGUCCGGAAUCAUUGGGCGUAAAGCGCGUGUAGGCGGCUAGGUAAGUCUGCUCUGAAAGCCCGGGGCUCAACCCCGGGAGGCGGGUGGAUACUGUCUAGCUCGAGUCCGGAAGAGGAGUGUGGAAUUCCUGGUGUAGCGGUGAAAUGCGCAGAUAUCAGGAGGAACACCAAUGGCGAAGGCAGCACUCUGGGACGUGACUGACGCUGAGACGCGAAAGCCAGGGGAGCGAACGGG